AGUACUGGAGAGAGAGGCAGGGUCUGAUCCUCAGCUUCCAUAGCAGCUGUUGAUCAAUUGUUGCCUCUCUCUUUCUCUCCA
rfam:Myotis lucifugus cont2.3783, whole genome shotgun sequence.